AGGCUGGCCGACAUGUUUUGUUUUUUUUAUUUUUUUUUUAUUUUAUGACAUACUGCAGGCCCAGGUAAGGGCCCAAGCAGGAGGGGCAUGGUAA
rnacentral:lncRNA from 1 species